rnacentral:rRNA from 1 species
AGAGUUUGAUCAUGGCUCAGGACGAACGCUGGCGGCGUGCCUAACACAUGCAAGUUGAGCGACGAACCAGGGCUUGCCCUGGGGCAAAGCAGCGAACGGGUGAGUAACACGUGGGUAACCUGCCCCGAUAACCGGGACAACCCGAGGAAACUCGGGCUAAUACCGGAUGUGCUCGCCGGACAUAAGUCCGGCGCGUAAAGGUAGCUUUGGCUUCCGUAUCGGGAGGGGCCCGCGGCCCAUUAGCUAGUUGGUGAGGUAACGGCUCACCAAGGCCGCGAUGGGUAGCUGGUCUGAGAGGACGAUCAGCCACACUGGGACUGAGACACGGCCCAGACUCCUACGGGAGGCAGCAGUGGGGAAUCUUGCGCAAUGCGCGAAAGCGUGACGCAGCAACGCCGCGUGGGGGAAGAAGGCCUUCGGGUUGUAAACCCCUUUCAGGAGGGACGAAGGUUCGGCGGUGAAUAGCCGUCCGGACUGACGGUACCUCCACAAGAGGCCCCGGCUAACUACGUGCCAGCAGCGGCGGUAAUAC